GAUGAACGCUGGCGGCGUGCCUAAUACAUGCAAGUCGAGCGAACGGACGAGAAGCUUGCUUCUCUGAUGUUAGCGGCGGACGGGUGAGUAACACGUGGAUAACCUACCUAUAAGACUGGGAUAACUUCGGGAAACCGGAGCUAAUACCGGAUAAUAUUUUGAACCGCAUGGUUCAAAAGUGAAAGACGGUCUUGCUGUCACUUAUAGAUGGAUCCGCGCUGCAUUAGCUAGUUGGUAAGGUAACGGCUUACCAAGGCAACGAUGUAUAGCCGACCUGAGAGGGGGAUCGGCCACACUGGAACUGGGACACGGUCCAGACUCCUACGGGAGGCAGCAGUAGGGAAUCUUCCGCAAUGGGCGAAAGCCUGACGGAGCAACGCCGCGUGGGUGAUGAAGGUCUUCGGAUCGUAAAACUCUGUUAUUAGGGAAGAACAUAUGUGUAAGUAACUGUGCACAUCGUGACGGUACCUAAUCAGAAAGCCACGGCUAACUACGUG
rnacentral:rRNA from 1 species